rnacentral:rRNA from 1 species
CCUACGGGAGGCAGCAGUGAGGAAUAUUGGUCACUGGGCGGAAGCCUGAACCAGCCAAGUAGCGUGCGGGAUGAAGGCCCUACGGGUCGUAAACCGCUUUUGCACGGGGAUAACACACUCCACUUGUUGAGGUCUGCAGGUACCGUGCGAAUAAGGGCCGGCUAAUUCAGUGCCAGCAGCCGCGUUAAUACGGAAGGCCCGAGCGUUAUCCGGAUUCAUUGGGCUUAAAGGGAGCGUAGGCGGGCGUUUAAGUCAGCUGUAAAAUAGCGCGGCACAACCGCGCCCCGCAGUGGAAACUGGACGCCUUGAGGUCACAACAGGCAGGCGGAAUUAGUGGUGUAGCGGUGAAAUGCAUAG